UCCGGUGCCUACUGAGCUGAUAUCAGUUCUCAUUUUACACACUGGCUCAGUUCAGCAGGAACAGGAG
rnacentral:pre_miRNA from 2 species